rnacentral:rRNA from 1 species
AGCUUGUUGAAUUUUAAUAACAAGUAUCUCCUGCCCGGUGCUUUGUGUAAACGGCCGCGGUACUCUGACCGUGCAAAGGUAGCAUAAUCAUUUGCCCUUUUAUUGGGGGCUGGAAUGAAUGGAAUGACGUGGCUUUUGCUGUCUCUUUCUUUUGAUUGAAAAUUGCUGUUUUUGUGAAGAAGCAAAAAUGUUAGAAAAAGACAAGAAGACCCUAUUAAGCUUUACUCUAAAAUUUUUGGUAAAAUGUUUUUACUUUAUUAUAUAAUUAUCAUGUUUCAGGGUUUGGUUGGGGUGACCGAAGAAGACAAGGAUCUUCUUUUUUUUUAAAAACUUUAUGUUUUUUAUUGGGCCAGUAGUUUCUGAGAAUAAGAAUAAGUUACUAUAGGGAUAACAGCGUAAUUUUUUCAAAGAGUUCAUAUUGAAGAAAAAGAUUGCGACCUCGAUGUUGACUUGUUGUAUCCUAUUUUAAAGUACCACUAAUUGGUGCAGAGGUGUAGCAGCUAAAAGGGUUGGUCUGUUCGACCAUUAAAACAGC